rnacentral:pre_miRNA from 1 species
AGUUCAAUUGCUGGAUCACAUGGUAAGAGUAUAUUUCAUUUUAUAAGAAACUUCCAAACUAUCUUCCAAAGUGGCUGUACCAUUUUGUGUUCCCACUAGCAAU